UACGUAGGUGACAAGCGUUGUCCGGAUUUACUGGGCGUAAAGAGCGCGCAGGCGGUCGAUCAAGUCGAGUGUGAAAGCCCCCGGCUCAACUGGGGAGGGUCAUUCGAUACUGUUCGACUCGAAGGCAGGAGAGGGUAGUGGAAUUCCCGGUGUAGUGGUGAAAUGCGUAGAUAUCGGGAGGAACACCAGUGGCGAAGGCGACUACCUGGCCUGUUCUUGACGCUGAGGCGCGAAAGCUAGGGGAGCAAACGGG
rnacentral:rRNA from 1 species